GGAAAACACAUGCUGGACAUAAAGAAAAAUUAAGAACCAUGCAUCUGUAAAAAAUACAAGAAAAAAUGGUUGUAGAGAAAUUAAUGACUGAGGUGCCACGUAGUAUGUAAAGAAUGUGAAGGUACAUGAGCAAUUUCAGAUGAUGCUGCAAGGUGUUUGGAAGAAACUUCAAUUAUCAAAUCAAGGCAUGAGGAAGAAAUGAAUGAGUUUGUUAGAGGGAAGCUAGAACUGACAAUUGUGAUCAAGGAAAACACCAAAAGAAGUAUUGUAAUUCAAAGAACAAUGGAAAAAUUUUAGAAAAAGGCAAAGAAAUCACAAAGAAGCGAAAAAUUGAGAAGCAGGAGCCUUUUCGCUCAAAUAAAAAGAGAAACUGAGUAAACAUUGAAUUUGAUAUUAAGAUAGUUUUUUAGCUCACAAAUAUUUUUUGUUUUGUAUCUG
rnacentral:lncRNA from 1 species